AGCUAGGGUGUUUUAAAUAAAAAACUAAAUACAAAGAAUUGAUUUAUAAAUAUUUUAUUAAUCAAUAUGCGUCUUGAAUGGCUGCAAUGGAAUUCCGAGGGAAAUGAUUUCUUCGUCAAUCAUCGAUUUCAAGUUUGGAAAGUAAUGGAAAACAGCUUCCCAACAAAUGUAUGUGAGUUUGGGAAUCCUGAUCCAAGUCAUAAUCAGGAGUCUGUUCAUAAAAUAAAAACAAUUUCCUAGUAGGAGAAAUGGUGAUUGAAUGAUACUCAAUGCGACGAGGAUAUCUCGGCAAUGGCGACCUCAGUAAGAUGAAUGGACCGUAUAACUCGAAAAUUAAUUGUUAAAAUUUUUAACUCAUUUUCACCCUACCUGAAACGGAAGUGCAAAUUACUGCCUUGUUUGGAGGGAAGAUAGUCCUCCUUUUCUCUGCUGAGAAAAAGGAAAUGAUAGAAAUUAACGCAUGCGCAAUUCUUCAGACAGAGGGAAAAAUUUAAACUUUCCGAUACAGAUCCGGUGAAAUAGUGAAUUGUGUGAUUAGGAACUAAAAAAAACGAUUUAAGAUCUGGAUGAAGAAUACGUAAGAAAAAUAGUAAUUAUAGAAAAAAAAAGAUAAUUUUUAAUAUAAAUAAAAAAAAA